AUGAGGAAUAAAAUGGAUGAGCUAGAAGUCCUGGCCCAGUCCCGCAACUACGACAUCAUCGGCAUAAGCGAAACCUGGUGGGAUGAGUCCUGUGACUGGGGUGUUGCGAUAGAUGGUUACAGGCUCUUCAGGAGGGACAGGCAGGGUAGGCGAGGUGGUGGGGUGGCGAUGUAUGUGAAGCAGGGGCUGGAUUGUGUGGAACUUCAGGUUGGCAAUGGCAAAGUUGAGAGCCUCUGGGUAAGGAUCAAGGGACGAACGAAUAAAGGGGAUGUCAUUGUGGGAGUCUAUUACAGACCGCCUGGCCAGGACGAUAGCGCCGAUAAAUUAUUCUUUACAGAACUAAGAGAGGCCUCGAGAUUAACUCCCCUUGUCCUUAUGGGGGACUUCAACUUGCCAGACGUUAACUGGGAGUGCCACACGGCUGACACGAGCAAGUCCAGGAGGUUCAUGAAGCACCUAGACGAUAACUUCUUGGUGCAGGUGCUAACGGAGCCAACUAGGAAAGGCGCCCUCCUAGACCUGUUGCUAGAAAACAGAGAGGGUCUGGUGGGAGAUGUGGUGAUUGGUGGCCGCCUCGGUCAUAGCGACCAUGAAGUGGUUGAGUUCAAAAUUUACGGUGACAGAAGGAAAAGUGCCACCAAAACCUCAUCCCUAGAUAUGGGGAAAGCGGACUUCAGGCUGCUCAGGGAACUAGUCAGCAAGGUCCCCUGGGAAACUGCUCUUGAAGGCCUCGAUGUCCACCAGUGCUGGUCAUUCUUUAAGCGAUGCCUCCUAGAAGCACAAGAUCAGGCAAUUCCUAAAUAUCGCAAGUCAGGCAGGCGGGGCAGGAGCAUUCUGAUGGAGAUUAGGCAGAAACAGAGAGUGUUUCGCUACUGGAAGGAGGGCCAGGUGUCAUGGAAAGAAUACAGGGAUGCUGUUCGUGUUUGUAGGGAGAAAAUUCGUGUGGCUAAAGCACACCUAGAGUUGAAGCUGGCUGUGUCUGUGAGAGAAAAUAAAAAGGUUUUUUUUAGAUAUGUGAAUGGAAAAAGGAGAACUAAAGAAUACAUAGGGCCGCUCCUUGAUAGGGAAGGUCUCCUCACAGACAAUGACAUAGGCAAAGCAGAAACGCUUAACGUCUUCUUUGCCUCUGUCUUCAAUGCCGAUGAUGGGCUUCGGGACCCAGGGUGCCCUGAGCUGGAGGACCGGGACGGUGGGGAUGACAAACUCCCAACCGACCCUGAACGUGUGCGGGAUCUGCUACUCCACCUGGAUCCCUACAAGUCCAUGGGUCCAGAUGGGAUUCAUCCCAGGGUGCUGAAAGAGCUGGCGGACAUCAUCGCGGAACCUCUCAAUUAUUUUUCAACGAUCCUGGGAAUCUGGAGAGGUCCUGGUAGACUGGAAGCUGGCAAAUGUGCCGAUUUUCAAGAAGGGUCAGAAAGAAGACCCUAG
rnacentral:lncRNA from 1 species